UUUCACCACUUUGUGUGUCCAAGGACCACCUACUUUUUACAUGUGACAAGAACUACCCACCUCCACUCUUCAGGAUAGAACAUGCUGAAGAAAAGAGUUGCAAUGAGAAAAUAUAUGGGAACAAAAUACCUGUGCAAUGCAGAGGUCUGCAUAACUGAACCACUCAGAGGAAAAAAUUUCCCUCCCAGGCUGGAGUACAAUGGCGCGACCUCGGCUCACUGCAACUUCCAUCUCCCAGGUUCAAGCAAUUCUCCCACCUCAGCCUCCUUACUAGCUGGGAUUACAAGCGCCUGACACCAGGCCCAGCUAUUUUUGUAUUUUUAGUAGAGACGGGGUUUCACCAUUUUGACUAGGCUGGUCUCAAACUCCUGACCUCAGUCCAUCGGUCCACCUCGGCCUCCCAAAGUGCUGGGAUUGCAGGCAUGAGCCACCGCUCCUGGCCUCAAGUUUAAUUCUUAAGUGCUCUUCUUCACUCUCUGGCUUGCUCACUUUCUGGGAAGACAUUUGUCAUACUGUGAGAUACCCUAUGAAAAGUCUAAAAUUGCAAGAAGUGAGAGGCUCCAGACAACAGCCAGGUAGAAACUGAGGCUGUUCAUCCAACAUCUUUGAGGACCUAAAUAUUGCCACGAACCAAAUAAAUGAACUUGACAUUCCACCCUCCCCAGGUUGUCCUUCAGAUAAAACUCCAGCCCUGG
rnacentral:lncRNA from 1 species